rnacentral:rRNA from 1 species
CCAUCGUUUAACGGCCGCGACUAAGUGCUAAGGUAGCAUAAUAAUUUGUCUUUUUAUUGGAGACUAGAAUGAAAGAAGAUAACGAGGCUUAACUGUCUCCAAGCAACCUAUUAAAAUUGAUUUAAGAGUGAAAAAUCUCGUAUACUAGUGAAGGACGAAAAGACCCUGUAGAGUUUGUAGUGAAAUUAAUAAAUUAAUUAAUUCACUUUUAUUGGGGCAAUAAAAGAUCAAAUUUAAACUCUUUUAAAAGGUUUUUGACAUAUCAAAAAAAAGAUCCUCAAAGAGAAAAAAAGAAAAACUACCUCAGGGAUAACAGCGUAAUUCUUCCAGA